AUUUUUACAGCCAAUUUGUUAUGAAUUUGUUUUUCUAAAGAUUAGGCACGAAUGCAUAUGAUCCUAACUAUCGAAAUUCAAUAAAGAAAACACAAGAAUUGUAACAAGAAGAACACUAAAGAUUGGAUGACAAGUUAAAUCUAGUUUUCAGAACUUACACAAAUUGUAUGUGGACAGUUAUAUUCGUCUCCAGACUCUACCUCAGAGCCGGUUCCAGAUUCCCACUCUGCAGACUCAAUAGAAGUGACGUCUCUAACUCCAUCGAUAGGGUCGUAUACUACGGAACAUAACCCGAAAAACUCUGCUAUAGGGUAAACAUUUUUUAACCGACACGAUUUUA